rnacentral:rRNA from 1 species
UAAUUGAAGAGUUUGAUCAUGGCUCAGAUUGAACGCUGGCGGCAGGCCUAACACAUGCAAGUCGAGCGGUAACAGGGGAAGCUUGCUUCUCGCUGACGAGCGGCGGACGGGUGAGUAAUGUAUGGGGAUCUGCCCGAUAGAGGGGGAUAACUACUGGAAACGGUAGCUAAUACCGCAUAAUCUCUUAGGAGCAAAGCAGGGGAACUUCGGUCCUUGCGCUAUCGGAUGAACCCAUAUGGGAUUAGCUAGUUGGUGAGGUAAUGGCUCACCAAGGCGACGAUCUCUAGCUGGUCUGAGAGGAUGAUCAGCCACACUGGGACUGAGACACGGC